rnacentral:rRNA from 1 species
CAGCAGCCGCGGGAAUACGUAGGGUGCAAGCGUUAAUCGGAAUUACUGGGCGUAAAGCGUGCGCAGGCGGUUAUGUAAGACAGUUGUGAAAUCCCCGGGCUCAACCUGGGAACUGCAUCUGUGACUGCAUAGCUAGAGUACGGUAGAGGGGGAUGGAAUUCCGCGUGCAGCAGUGAAAUGCGUAGAUAUGCGGAGGAACACCGAUGGCGAAGGCAAUCCCCUGGACCUGUACUGACGCUCAUGCACGAAAGCGUGGGGAGCAAACAGGAUUAGAUACCCCCGUAGUCCCUGUCUCUUAUAC